rnacentral:rRNA from 1 species
GAUUUCUGACGAUUUGAUUUCAGGCCGGCCACGGUUUCGUGUGUUAGUGCUUGAAAUCUUCGUCAUCCUUCCAAUGGCUAUUCAUCCUUCUUCAUUGAGGUGGUGAGUGGUAUUGGAUCUUUUACUUUGAAAAAAUUAGAGUGUUUCAAGCAGGCUUUAUGCUAUGAAUACAUUAGCAUGGAAUAAUAAUUUAGGACUUCGGUUCUAUUUUGUUGGUUUCUAGGACUGAAGUAAUGAUUGAUAGGGACAGUUGGGGGUGCUAGUAUUCCGCGGCCAGAGGUGAAAUUCUUGGAUUCGCGGAAGACUAACUACUGCGAAAGCAUU